UCAUAGUGAGGGCUGAUACUUACAGCUAUGGCUCCAGACAGCUAAUUCUCAAUAACUCCUGCGUAAAUCAGCUAUACCAAGGAUAUGUCUUGGAGCCAUUUUUAUCCUUCUAAACACAUCACACCAAUAAAUUAAUUAUUGUAAGAUAAGAGGGAGUGCAGAUUGUUCAGAAAAUUUUAUCUAUACCUCUCUUUCAGUUUCAGGACCCAACAGAAACCUUUGCCCCAGGCCAUUCUUUAACCGGAAGAAGCCUAUCCAGUGUGCAUACCCUUUAUUGAUGUCCUGCCUUGCUCAGUGUGAGGUCCUGCUGCCGUCUAGGCCCUGGGGUUGACAGAGAUACUGAGGUUUGUCCUUGAAAGAGAUGCAAACACCAUCUGUCCCUUAUCAACAUGGCAAGAACCCUUAGACGCUCCAAGAGGCCCUGUUAUCCUGGGUGGCUGCCAGGGGUUUGGAAAGUGGUGGGUGAUCUCAGGCUGGGGUCUGGAUGACUUAACACCGUCACAUCUCAUCAUCUCUUUGACCUGUGUCUAUCCACAUGUUAUGAAGGUAAGCUGCAUUUCUGCUCUGUGUCAUCUUGACCUGGAACCCAACUGAUGGAGAAGACUCUGAAGAAUCACUGGUUGCCACGUGGAGCGAAAAGGGAGCUUGGCAAACCACACACUGUUCCUUAAAGCUUCUGCUGCAAAGGGACACACAGCACUUCUGCUCACGGUUGCACUGACUGGAGCAAGUCAUUGAACCAAGUCUGACAUCAAUGAGGCAGGAGAGUAUAAUCUUCCCCAGGAAGGGUCA
rnacentral:lncRNA from 13 species